CAUAGGCAUUCAGGCAGCUAGCGGCGACGGCAAAACGGCAGCACCAUGCAUGAUUCACCAGCGGUGAGAGAGAGAGAGAGAGACCAUGACCAUAAGUCCAUCAUAUUAUGCUCUGCUUGCUUGCACCCACACCAUGACACCACCAUGCACACACACACCCCUCUAUAAACCCCUCAUGCCAUCUGCCUUCUUCAUUCAGUUCACGUACGUCUUGUACGUCACAGCAGUCUCAUGGUGAUAUUUUCCCUCUCUUUGUUCAUCAAGUGGUUUCAUGGUGCCUUCUUUUAUUGGAACAGCUUAUAUACACUACUUAGCAGAUUUCUUUUUUUUUUUUUUGGUCUUGGGCAGAAGUUAUUGGGGUGUCUCACCCGAAUGUUCUUGCCUUUCACAGAACCAAAAUUUACUGUUGGUGUUUUCUUUCUUCCAAAUUAACUCCCAAUUAAAGAACAUUGUGUUAAUUUUUGGGGGGCAUAGAUUCUUGUUUCAGAUGACCAGAUCAUCCCCAAUGAUCAUGAAUGAAAGGUAGGCAGACUUGCUAAUCUCUUGUUGCUUAUCCCAUUGAUUCUGUUUGUUCAGUAGAUCUUGCUCUCUAUAAUGGAAUUUCUCUCUCCAUUCGAUGUUUCCUAGUACUAUACCUCAUCAUAAUGUAACACUGCUAUAUGCUAGAGCUUUCUUUACAGACGUUUUUUGUUCUGUCUAGUACAGAACUUUUCUCGAGAAACGCUGAACCUACCUUGCGCAGAGCUUAAUCAAUUCAAUUGUUUCCAGCUUUUUUUUCUGAACAUGAACUGCAUGAGUGUAAUCUGCUUCAGUUUUGCAUCUAGUUUACACUAAUUGCUCAAGCAGCUAGGCCUGGCUUCAGUGCUGUUCAUUUGUUCUCUUCUAGAAUUCAGUGUUGUUCUUCAUCUGUUCUCCUCUGAAUUCAUUGCUGUUCAUUACACAUUCUUCAGUGCUGUCCUUUGCACAUUUCUUCAGUGCUAUUCAUUAAACAUUCUUCAGUCUUGUUCAUAUAUAUGCUCAUCCCAAAUACCAACAACAGUUCCACGUUUAAUUCAUGAUUUAGCAUGCCAUCUAAUAAAGUUAUAAAAUUACAAUAAUUAGUUUGGCAGUGCAGAAAGAGAACCAUUUUGGCUGUGUCUAUUACUCGGAGUCAAUGUAAGUUACUCGCAAAAAAACAAUAGAGCCUGCAAUUCAUAUGAUCUCAGCACUGACAAGAUCUUACAACUUUUUGUGCACGAGUACUGACCCAAAUCAACCAUACAUAAUAGUUAUAACAUAUACUGCCAAGGGCUUUUUACAAUCAAAUAGUGCAGACGACAGAAAUGUGCACACAAUAAAUAAACUCAACAUUACAAGGUCGUACUAUAUAUAUAUAUGAAACCAUAGCAAGUAUGCUUCAGGUAGAAACUAGGAUGAGAUGAUGUAGCUUAACCAAAUAUUCAUGUUCAUCCUGAUGCUCAAUUAGAUUCCUUGCCCCCAAAAGUCCAAGCAACUCAGACUACAUUCACUGGCAAAAACAUUUUGCAAGAUUCUUGUGUUUGUGCUUAACAGCGACACGCAUCAUGCUACUCCUUAGGCGCCAUGUUCAGUGUUCACUCGCAAUAGCACGUACAUUCCAUGGAAGACCCCAUCAGAAAGUCAAGCAUGUCGUUGUUCAUGUUGGUCAUGCAGAGAAUUUGGACUUGUCGAAUUGACAGAAAAAAAAUAAAGAGGAAAAGGAGAAGAUUACCAAAAAAACAUCAUUUUUUCCAUUUGUUUAACUCCAAUUGUGAUUUAUGGUGACUAAAAAAUUCUUCAGAAUAUGUCCUCGUUUGUUUCACCGGUUAGGCAGCUCCAGCUGUUUGGACUGUGCGUCAUGAAAAGGACAAGAACCGAAGUCGACUAAGAUGGUGACGAAGUUCGAUUUUGAUGGGACAAUUACUAGUGGUUCAGAAAAUUACGUCCAAUAGAAUCUCUUUUCAGAAAUUAAAAAAAAAAUAUACACAAUUUAAAAGAGGGCGUGGAAUCAUGGAUGGAGAAUGAAUUAUACCGGGAAUAUAAUGCAUGGUGACGACAGCUUGUGACAUGUCAUUCAAGUGCCAUGGUAGUCAACAAGUGGUUUGCAGUUGUUUGUUGUAUGCUCUUUGGCUGGGGGUGUGAACCUUGUUUUUUUGAACGAAUUUGCUCAACCUUGUUGCUGCUGCUCUGUUGUAUUGUGGAGUCUAGGUUUCUUCUUUUUAUUUUAUUAUAGGCUUAUUCAUUUAAAAAGAACUGAGAAUGUAGAAGUAAACUAAGGCUGCCAUCUGCAACGAGAAACAUUUUAAAUUCCCGGUAGAA